GAUGAACGCUGGCGGCGUGCCUAAUACAUGCAAGUCGAACGGUACUCUUUCGGGAGUACAGUGGCGAACGGGUGAGUAAUACAUAAGGAACCUGCCCUCGGGACCGGGAUAGCUGAUGGAAACGUCAGGUAAUAGCGGAUGUGAGUCAUUAUGGCAUCAUGAUGACUUGAAAGGAUGCAGCAAUGCAUCGCGCGGGGAUGGCCUUAUGGCGCAUUAGCCAGUUGGCGGGGUAACGGCCGACCAAAGCGAUGAUGCGUAGCCGAUCUGAGAGGACGACCGGCCACACUUGGGACUGAGACACGGCCCAGACUCCUACGGGAGGCAGCAGUAGGGAAUUUUCGGCAAUGGGCGAAAGCCUGAUGCAGCAACGCCGCGUGAGCGAUGAAGGCCUUCGGGUCGUAAGCUCUUUCGGCCGGGAAGAAAUCGUAUGGGCUAAUACCCUGUGCGGAGUGACCGGUACCGGCAAUAAGAAGCACCGGACUAACG
rnacentral:rRNA from 1 species